CGGCAACAGCUCAAAUUUGAAAUCUGGCGCAAGCCCGAAUUGUAAUUUGUAGAGGAUGCUUCGAGGCAGCGGCCGGUCUAAGUUCCUUGGAACAGGACGUCAUAGAGGGUGAGAAUCCCGUACGUGACUGGUUGGCACCUCACACGUAGCUCCUUCGAC
rnacentral:rRNA from 1 species